GGUGUGCCUCAGGGGGGAAUGGAUGCACAGGUGUCUCUGUGUGGUGUGCCUCAGGGGGAACGGAUGCACAGGUGUCUCUGUGUGGUGUGCCUCAGGGGGGAAUGGAUGCACAGGUGUCUCUGUGCUGUGUGCUUCAGGGCUAUACCACAGAGCGGUACAUUAUAUGGCAGAUAUAGUUUCAGUUUUUAGAACAUCUUUGGGGUUUCCACAGUGGAUAGAUUAGGU